UGCUAUCUACAUGCACGAUUGCCACGUGCAUAUACCCGCCCCUCACUAUUACUAACCCUUUCCACCUUCGUCUAUAAAUAACGAUGCAGAAUAAAGGCGUUGGUGAUUUUGCUUCUUGACAACCCAGCUGUCCAGUCUGUUCGUUGCACACGAGAACGAAACAUGGUGUCAGAAGUUGGAUGCAAGGCUACCAGCUCAAGCGAAUGGUACCUGGGAUAGGCGAACGUGAGAAGCAUCGACAUGGAGCACCUGAGGCAACCUGAACCGCUACGCUUGACAGCGGAUGGCGGAAGGAACUGGAAGCGGUUUCGUCAGCAGUUCGAGUUUUUUCUACAAGCGACGGUAUGCAAAGCCAAUCCAAGGUCGGAAGCGGCGAAGACGGCCCUGCUCCUCAGCGUGGCGGGGGAGGAAGCGUUGGACGUUUUCAACAAUUUUGUGUUCAGCGGAGAAGAGAACAAGGAAGACUACAAUACCGUGAUUGCCAAGUUCGAAGAAUACUGCACGGAGCAACAGAAUGAAAUCCACGAGCGAUACGUUUUCCGCUCUCGCAGUCAAGGUGAGGCGGAGCCUUUUGAGCAGUUUCUACGCGAGUUGAAAAAACAAGCGCAGUACUGCAACUUUGGGACUAUGGCAGACGAUAUGGUACGAGACCAAAUUGUCUUUGGAACAAACUCGCCAAGGCUCCGAGAAAAGAUGCUCAGGGACAAAAACCUGACCUUGGAAAAGGUUGUCAUCCUAUGCAAGGCGGCUGAAACAACACGCCAAAACGAAUUCUGGCAGAAAACAAAGGAAGAACUCGAUAUGAACGCUGUCACUGCCAGCAAGAGCACUCAUAGAGGGUCCAGACACGACCCAAAAUGCAGCCGCUGCAACCGAAAGCAUGCCGUUAGACGCUGUCCACCUUACGGCAAAGUCUGUUACUCGUGUAAUGGGCGAAAUCACUUCGCAUGUUGUUGCAGUGAGAAAGAGCGCGUAUACGAAGUACAGCAUCAAAACGACGACUUCGAAGUACUGAAUGUCGCCAGCAGCAGCGCAAGCAGAGAACGAGACUGGCAUGUGAACGCAUGCAUUGACGGCAAGUACGUCUCCUUUAAGGUGGACACAGGAUCGCAGGCAAACGUAUUGCCACUCUCAAUAUUUCGCAAGUUCAAGAAGACCAGUCUGAUGCCCAGUUGCGCCGUUCUGAGAUCCUAUGGGGGCAACAUGAUCAAGCAUGUUGGGAAGUUUUCAGCGCCAAUCAAGAUUGGCGACCGCGAGGCGUGCGCAAGUUUUUUUGUGGUAAAGAAGGACCACAGCGCUAUCUUAGGCUUAGAAACCAGCGAGAAGCUAGGAAUCGUCACGCAGUCAACAGCGCGCUGUACGACGAGCAACACCGAAGCAAUUGUGAAGGAGUUCCCACGUCUUUUCCAUGGAAUAGGGCGCGCUCCGCGUGAAUACAAGAUUGCGCUGCACAAGGAUGCCGUGCCAGUCGUCCAGCCAGCUAGAAGAGUGCCCCUGUCCCUGCGAGAGCCUCUCCGUACUGAACUAGGCAGAAUGGAAAAGGAAGGCAUCAUCCAGAAGGUCAGCAGCCCCACAGAUUGGGUAAGCCCCCUUGUCAUUGUACUAAAGAAAGACGGCAAAUUGCGAGUCUGCAUGGACCCAAGACGCAUCAUCGAAAACAUCAAGAGGGAGCACUACCAAAUGCCGCGCAGAGAGGAUAUUGAGGCAGACUUAGCAGGCGCGAAGUUUUUUUCGCGUCUCGACGCAAAUGCGGGAUUUCAUCAAAUCGCAUUAGACGAACAGUCAUCGAAGAUAUGCACAUUCGCGACGCCCUUCGGCCGCUAUCGCUUUCUUCGGCUACCGUUCGGUAUAGCUUCGGCUAGCGAAGUGUUUCAAAAAGCCCUUAACGAGGUUUUUGAUGGCCUGCCAGGUGUACGCGUGUACGUAGACGAUGUGCUAAUCUGGGGAGGGACCAGGGCUGAACACGAUGAGAGGCUGCGCUGAGUAUUAGAAGCAGCUGAAAAGGCAGGUCUUACCUUCAAUGCAUCCAAGUGUCGCUUUGGCCUGCAAGAAGUACUCUUCCUGGGUGACAUCAUUAGCGACAAGGGCAUUAGGCCAAAUCCAAAUCUCGUUGACGGUCUUUUAAAAAUGCCAAAACCUCAGGACAAAUUGGCGGUACAAAGACUGCUGGGAGUCGUUAACUACUUCAGCAAGUACCUACCGUCACUCUCGCAGCGCACGUCUACUUUACGAUCCCUCGUCAAACAAGGUGUCAUCUUUGAUUGGAUACCAACCCACGAAAAGGAAUGGCAGGCUAUAUGUCGGGACUUAAGCAAUGCACCAUUGCUUGCUAUAUUUGAUCCGAGUCUGGAGACGAAAGUUACUGCAGAUGCCUCUCGGAGUGGUGUUGGUACGGCGCUUCUGCAACGUCAUGGGGACUGCUGGCAGCCGGUCGCCUACGCGUCAAGAGCUUUGACAGAAUCGGAGCAAAGAUAUUCGCAGAUUGAAAAAGAGGCGUUGGCUUUUGCUUUCGGUUGCGAAAAGUUCAAUCAUUUCGUUUAUGGCCAGUCCCUCAUCCUCGAGAGCGACCACAGUCCACUGAUAAACAUAUCAAAGAAAGGCAUAAGUGAUAUGCCACCCAGAGUGCAACGAUUUUUCUUGAGAUUGAUGAAAUAUGACUACACGCUAACAUAUAUUCCUGGCAAACAAAUGGCCCUUGCUGAUAUGCUGUCCCGAUCACCUGUUACAGGACUCAAGGCAGCUCCAGACAUGAGUGACGUCGAGAUCCAUGCCGUCACGGUCGUAUCAGCACUCGGCGAGUCCUGUUGAAGAUGGCCGGUCUCCUGGGGAACUGCUGCAAGGAAGGCGGCUGCGCACACCAUUGCCGGACUUCAAUCCGAUGUCGGCGACUGUCGUCAAGAAACACCGGCAGAGAAGUCAUCAUAGGCGCACCUUACCAGACCUCAGUAACAAUGACGCGGUACGCUUGAAUGGAACAUCGUGGGCCAGGAAAGCCAAGGUGGUCAGAUCGGCCGGCCCACGAUCCUUCCAUGUGCGCACAGAGAACAAUACUGUGAUGAGACGCAACCGUCGGCAUCUUCUGGCGACGAAGGAAUCGUAUGAGGUUGGCUCAACAGACGACGAAGAUAAGACCGACAACCAGACCCCAUUUCAAGGUGUGGCGUCAACUACUACUGCAGCCUCGCCCGUGGUAGGUCAACAGCCGUCGCCUCAGCCAUUGCGACGCAGUCAACGACAGACGCGGCAGCCAGAGCGUCUGGGUUAUGACCAGCAGUUCCAGCAGACGAGCCAGCGGUAUUAAUUAUUACUGUUUGGAAAGAGGAUGUAUCAUAUCUGAUGAAAGCGCAUGUGCUAUCUACAUGCACGAUUGCCACGUGCAUAUACCCGCCCCUCACUAUUACUAACCCUUUCCACCUUCGUCUAUAAAUAACGAUGCAGAAUAAAGGCGUUGGUGAUUUUGCUUCUUGACAACCCAGCUGUCCAGUCUGUUCGUUGCACACGAGAACGAAACACU